GAAGGUUUAAACAAGAGGCUGUCUGUCUUUGUCCUCGAUUUAGCUCCCUCAACGGAGAGCUGAAGCAGCUAUAUACUGCUAUCACACGGGCCCGGGUCAACCUCUGGAUCUUUGAUGAAACCCAGAGAAGCGGGCUCCUGCUUUCAAAUAUUUCAUGAGAAGAAAUUUUGUCCAGGUUGUGAAAGACAGAUGAAAAUAAAGACUUUGAUGACAGCAUGUUUGUUAAGACCUCAACACCUGAGGAAUGGAUCGCGCAGGGAGAAUAUUAUGCUAAACACCAGUGCUGGAAGGUAAGUGCUGGACCAGGAGCCCGGGGGUGACGUCUUUGUGACCGGGGACCUCAUCGGGCCCCACAGGCGGGUUUCCCGCUCUCCAGCUUAUCACCAGGAUAGGGCAAAGGUUAUGGCUGUGGUGCUACUUCUUCCGAGACAUCAGGUCGCCCCGCGAUGAAGUGAGCUUCCUGUCCUGCUCCUUCCCCGGGGCGAGGGUGACAUCCCUUCCCUGUGGCCAAGUGCCAGCAUGUACCGAUAGGAAGAGGGAGUGUCGUGGCUUCUGCCCCACCCACAGACCCUUCUGUUAACUUUCUUUUCCUCCUGUGCUCUUCGUCUCCACUUUUUUUGCUGUCACCCCACCGCGUUUUAAAAUAGUAGCAGAUCGGGGCGCCUGGGUGGCGCGGUCGGUUAAGCGUCCGACUUCAGCCAGGUCACGAUCUCGCGGUCCGUGAGUUCGAGCCCCGCGUCGGGCUCUGGGCUGGUGGCUCAGAGCCUGGAGCCUGUUUCCGAUUCUGUGUCUCCUCUCUCUCUGCCCCUCCCCCGUUCAUGCUCUGUCUCUCUCUGUCCCAAAAAUAAAUAAACGUUGGAAAAAAAAAAUUAAAACAAAAAUAAAAUGGUAGCAGAUUGGGGGCGCCUGGUGGCUCAGUCGGUGGAGCGGCCGAUCUUGAUUUUCAGCGCCGGUCAUGAUCUCAUGAGCCAGUGAGAUGGUGAACCACGCUGACGGGGCAGAGCCUGCUUGGGUUUCUCUCUCUGCGCCCCUCCCCGUGUCUCUUUCUCCCAAAGGAAAUAGUAAAUAAACGUUAAAGGAAGUAAAACAGUAACAGGUUGGUCACUUGUCUCUCAAACUGAUCCGGCACAGACCUGACUGCCAGUCUGGGGCUAGUGAGAAUGGGUUAAGCUUUAUCACCAGACUGAGUUGACCAAUUCUGGGCCACGAGCCGCGUUGCCAAGCGUGAGCAGCCUUCCUCCGGGCCAUGUCAUCGCUGCCGGUCCUUUUGAAAUACUGAAGCCAGCGUGAGAAGCCCCAUCCCUCUCCCACGGGCAGCAUCCCUACACCUGACACGGUCUCAGGUGAGGCCCCAGGGCCCGUGUGUUUCCCGUGAUGCGGCGGUAACGAUGUCUCCACCUACAAGGCACAGACACCUUCGGCCCAACAAGCUCAUCUUGGGCCCCAUCUCAUUCCGUGUCUUCCCUGUGUCAUCUGCAGCUUGUCAGGUGACAUGAUGACUGCAGCAGGUGGCUAAGCAACCCAUCCUCCCCAGCAGCAACCCAAGCAGGGCUGAGGGCAGGCACUUUUCUUCUCAGGGGUCUCUUUCUUUAUCAGGAAGUCCCCCGUGGACUUCUUCUGACAUCUCACUGCUCGGUGCUAGGUCACGUGCCCACGCCUGGUGCAAGGGAGUCUGGGAGGGCAGUCCCAUCCUGCGGUCUCAGCCCUUCAUGGAAGGCAGGCUCUGCCGUGACGCACGGGAGGGAGCGG
ensembl:lncRNA